CCUACGGGUGGCAGCAGUGGGGAAUAUUGCACAAUGGGGGAAACCCUGAUGCAGCAACGCCGCGUGAGUGAAGGAGUAUUUCGGUAUGUAAAGCUCUAUCAGUAGGUAAGAAGAAAGACGGUACCUGACUAAGAAGACCCGGCUAACUACGUGCCAGCAGCCGCGGUACAACGGAGGGGGCAAUAGUUAUCCGGAUUUACUGGGCGUAAAGGGAGCGUAGACGGGUGAGCAAGUCUGAAGUGAAAGCCAGUGGCUCAACCGCGGAACUGCUUUGGAACCUGUAUGGCUUGAGUACUGGAGAGGCAGGUGGAAUUCCUAGUGUAGCGGUGAAAUGCGUAGAUAUUAGGAGGAAUACUAGUGGCGAAGGCGGCCUGCUGGACAGAAACUGACGUUGAGGCUCGAAAGCGUGGGGAGCAAACAGGAUUAGAUACCCUAGUAGUC
rnacentral:rRNA from 1 species